AGAUGCGCGCCAGUUUCAGGUGUCCUGCGCCGCCGCGCGCAGGGUGAAACGGGAAGCCGGUGAGUCGUGUUCACGACAAGUCCGGCGCUGCCCCCGCAACGGUAAGCGAGCGAACCCUUCGACAGACCACUGUGCACCCGCAUGGGAAGGUGAAGGUUUCAUGCCCCUCGCAAGCCCGGAGACCGGCCUGAAGCCUUACUUGGCA
rnacentral:ncRNA from 2 species